AAGUCGUAACAAGGUUUCCGUAGGUGAACCUGCGGAAGGAUCAUUAACACGUAUCCAACGUUAAACCCCCUGUGAACCUUCAUUGUGCUCGUACAAACCACGUCAUAAACCGGCAAUCUCUGGUAAAUCAUCGCCGAACAGUUUUGAUUCAGAGACCUCUGGGAAGGUUGUACCAUAGCGCGAGGCAAUUGACCUGGCAUUCCUCUGCUUGUUAGUGUCUGAAAGUGUCACUAGCUAUGUACGGAUGGCGCAGUCACGAUCGCUGUAGGCCGACACGGCCGGCGACCAGGUCACUGGCUACGGCCCCUACGAUCACAACCUUUGCAUGAAAACGGGCGUGCGUUCCGAUGCAGCCACCAUAAAAAUGCUUAAAACAACUGUUAACAAUGGAUAUCUUGGUUCUC
rnacentral:misc_RNA from 1 species